rnacentral:rRNA from 1 species
GCGCUGGAGAAUUGAGGGGGGCUGCUCCUAGUACGAGAGGACCGGAGUGGACGCAUCACUGGUGUUCGGGUUGUCAUGCCAAUGGCACUGCCCGGUAGCUAAAUGCGGAAGAGAUAAGUGCUGAAAGCAUCUAAGCACGAAACUUGCCCCGAGAUGAGUUCUCCCUGACUCCUUGAGAGUCCUGAAGGAACGUUGAAGACGACGACGUUGAUAGGCCGGGUGUGUAAGCGCAGCGAUGCGUUGAGCUAACCGGUACUAAUGAACCGUGAGGCUUAACCUU